rnacentral:lncRNA from 1 species
AUAUCAUAUACAGUGUAUGGUAUUGGCAGCAUUUAUUUUAGCUUGGAACAUGUUUUUAAAACCCACAUUUUAAUGCAAAUGUAACUUAAAUAUGAACAAAUAUGAAUCGAUGUUAAUGUUUAGCCUAUUAUGUUUCAUAUAUCAUGAAUAAAUACAGGUCUGCGACCCCCUUUCUACGAUUACGUUGGGGACUUCCAUUUGGACAAUUUUCGUAAUUCCUUGACCCGGAAGUACGUUUUUAGUGUUGCUGGUAUGCCUUUGUAUAAUACCCCUCUGGCUGAACAUGUCAAUUCUUUAAAGGUCAGAAAGCUCAGAACAGUUUCAUAAACUCCUAUUUAAAUUUUUUUGAAUUAAAGUGUUGCUGUAAUUGUGAAUGUUUUGAGGAUCAUUUAGAUUUCCCAAGUUUAAGUCCAUGUUUACUACUGUCAACGAACGGAAGUUGUUGGACACCAUCGGACGACUUUGUGUGAAACACCGGCGGUAUUUUCGAUUCUUCACCCAGCCCAGUAACACCAGCCCAGUAACACCAGCCCAGUAACAGUGAGGUCGGAUAUGGAGGGUUGCUGAGUCCUGCUCUCUACCACGGCCCGUCAGCCAGUCCAGCCGGACAGGACUCGGGUCAGGAGACGCAUCGUUAGGACGACAGGAUGAGCUCCUCGCCCCCCGCGGCCAAGAGGAAAUGUUACAUGGGACGACAUCAGAUCAUCAAGAAAAACAGUGUCCCCGACCCUGAGCAGCCACUCACCCCAAGACGCUCCAGUCGCCUGCAAACCGCUCACACACACACGCUGCCUGACAACACACACAUGCUGUGUGACAACACACACACGCUGCGUGACAACACACACACGCUGCCUGACAACACACACACGCUGCCUGACAACACACACACGCUGCCUGACAACACACACACGCUGCGUGACAACACACACACGGCCCAGGAAGUGGCUGCAGGACAGGUGUGUGUGGUAGGAGACUCCUCUUUAGACCCUGGAGAGGAGAUGCCUCAGGUGCUGGAAGCUCUGGAUCCUGGAGGGAUGAAAUUAACACAUGGGGUAGAGAUGGGGGUAUCUUUAAUCCGGAGAGGGGUAUCCCACGCCUCAGCAGCUCCAGCCCAGACCUCCCUGACACCAGGACCAGAGGACGGGGCUAAGGUUGGACUAGGACCAGAUGUGUGUGAGCAUCCAGGGCUGGUUCAGACAGCGGACCGUAAGGACCUGGCUCAGUGCCUGCUGUUCAGUGAAGACUCAGAGGACAGAGAGCAUGCUGGGACGCUUCCACACAGACCUACGGACGCCCCACCCCCUCAGAAGAACUGUAGCUCCAGAGGUAGGAAGCGCAGGGCCAGGGGAGGAGCUCUGAGACCACACCCACAGGAAGAGGAAACGGUUCCUGCCAGAAUGCUGACUCCCCAUUGGACGUAUCUGAUGACUUCAUCCUGUUCAGCCCCUCCCUCCUGGCGCGGGCGAGGGAGAGAGCGGCGCUACAGCGGUCUCUGAGGAACAACAUGUCAGCCUCUGUUCUCACGCCCCCUACUGGGCUGGAGGCCAGCACACUCAACACCACAGGGGUUGGUCUAUCAGCGGUGUGUAUGCGUCCAGACGAGCAGUGUGACAGGUUGUUGUUGUCCAGCUGGGGUCUACCUGCUGCGGUCCUUCAGCGUUACCGUCGUCAUGGUGUCGUCUCCAUGUUCCCCUGGCAGGCUCAGUGUCUCAGUCUGGGACGCGUGCUGCAAGGACAAAACCUGGUCUACUCAGCCCCAACCAGUGCAGGGAAGACCCUGGUGGCAGAGCUGUUAAUGCUGAAGAGAGUACUGGAGACGAAGAGGAAAGCUCUGUUUAUUCUGCCCUUCGUAUCCCUGGCCAAGGAGAAGAUGACCUACCUGCAGGUACAGUGGAAGGUAGACAGGGAUAGAGGGUAGGAGAGUCAGAAAUGUUCUGUGUAUAUGUACAGUGCUUUGCAAAAGUAUUAAGACCCCUUGGAUUUCUUCACAUUUUAUUGUGCUUUAAAGUGGAUUUAAAUGUCUUUUUUUGGGGGGGGGUCAACAAUCUACACAAAAAUUAAACAACAAAAAUAUAGCCGUUGCAUAAGUAUUCAG